rnacentral:rRNA from 1 species
GACGAACGCUGGCGGCGUGCCUAAUACAUGCAAGUUGAGCGCUGAAGGUUGGUACCUGUACCAACUGGAUGAGCAGCGAACGGGUGAGUAACGCGUGGGGAAUCUGCCUUUGAGCGGGGGACAACAUUUGGAAACGAAUGCUAAUACCGCAUAAAAACUUUAAACACAAGUUUUAAGUUUGAAAGAUGCAAUUGCAUCACUCAAAGAUGAUCCCGCGUUGUAUUAGCUAGUUGGUGAGGUAAAGGCUCACCAAGGCGAUGAUACAUAGCCGACCUGAGAGGGUGAUCGGCCACAUUGGGACUGAGACACGGCCCAAACUCCUACGGGAGGCAGCAGUAGGGAAUCUUCGGCAAUGGACGAAAGUCUGACCGAGCAACGCCGCGUGAGUGAAGAAGGUUUUCGGAUCGUAAAACUCUGUUGGUAGAGAAGAACGUUGGUGAGAGUGGAAAGCUCAUCAAGUGACGGUAACUACCCAGAAAGGGACGGCUAACUACGU